rnacentral:sRNA from 1 species
UUGAUGGGGAGGUAAGUGAUUGUCUACGGUUAUGGAUAAGUCAAUGCAUCAAGCAGUGGUAUGGUCCAGACUGUAGCUGUUCACGCAUCUAUUCCUGUUAU